UCGUGCGUCGUCGACGUAGUCUCGAGAGUAGUAGUCUAUGGCUCAGGAUGAACGCUGGCGGCGUGCCUAAUACAUGCAAGUCGAACGAGGGUGCUUGCACCCUAGUGGCGAACGGGUGAGUAACACGUAGGUAACCUGCCCUUAAGCUUGGGAUACCCAGAGGAAACUUUGGCUAAUACCGGAUAACAACAGAAGAGGCAUCUCUUCAGUUUGAAAGGCCCUUUACGGGGUCACUUAAGGAUGGACCUGCGGCGCAUUAGUUAGUUGGUGAGAUAAAAGCCCACCAAGACGAGGAUGCGUAGCCGACCUGAGAGGGUGAUCGGCCACAUUGGAACUGAGACACGGUCCAAACUCCUACGGGAGGCAGCAGUAAGGAGUUUUCGGCAAUGGGGGAAACCCUGACCGAGCAACGCCGCGUGAGUGAAUGACGGCCCUAUGGGUUGUAAAGCUCUGUUGUAAGGGACGAAUGACUAGCUUAGGAAAUGAAGUUAGUUUGACGGUACCUUACCAGAAAGCCACGGCUAACUACGUGCCAGCAGCGGC
rnacentral:rRNA from 1 species